rnacentral:lncRNA from 1 species
AGAGAAAGAGUCGUCCUGCAAUAUUUAUAGCAAAGUACUUUGCCACCUACCGACAAGCAGCCUGGUUGGUCUUCACGUGCUUUGCCUGUUUUUGAUCCCUGCUUCUGUAUCUAGUAAGAAGCCAUUCUUUCCAUCCUCUGUGCAAGAGUGGUUGCAGAUUUGUUGUUGUUGUUGUUGUUGUAACCACACAACAGGUAAAAACCCAGUUCCACCCGAAGGAAUGGAGACAUCUAAAACGGCCUCCCAGGGAAGUCUCAGCUUCUCUGUAACUCUGCACUAACUAGAUUUCUGUCACCUCUCUGUGGAAGGGUGGGGACAACAUAUUGCUUUGAAACCCAGCCGCGUGGGGCCCUUCCCUAGCAUCAUGUCUGAUAAGACAGAAUUCGCCUCUCCUUCAUUGGUGGGAAACCCAGCUUGUCCGGAGACCGUCGAACCCCACCUUAUUCUAAUUGCCCCGAGGAGAACCAAGGGUAAGGUCACUUCGGCCUGAGCACAUUCAAGGCGCCCAGACAGCAAAGCCAAAACCAUGAACACCGGGCAGCCAAUUACCGCAACCCCGAGAACUACACAGCAUACACAGCAACAAAGCUCUCCAGCGCUUCCCAUAUGCCAGGCACUCAGCCAAGAGCUUUACCUGCAUUAUUUAUUUUAUCCUUCCAUUAUCCUUACCAAGUAGUUCAUGGAGUUCCCGUCGUGGCUCAGUGGUUAAAGAAUCCGACUAGGAACCAUGAGGUUCCGGGUUCAAUCCCUGGCCUGGCUCAGUGGGUUAAGGAUCUGGCGUUGCCGUGAGCGGUGGUGUCAGUUGCAGACGCGGCUCAGAUCCCUUGUUGCUGUGGCUGUGGUGUAGGCCAGCAGCUGCAUCUCCAAUUCAAGCCCUAGCCUGGGAACCUCCCCACAUGCCACAGAAGCGGCCCAAGAAAUGGCAAAAAGACAAAAAAAAAAAAGAAAAGAAAAAAGAAAAGUCAUGUGCCAGCGGUCAAACAGUUGGUGCUAAGAGGUGAAAUGGAAAGUGAAGACCCCAGUCUCCUUGGCCUGCAGGGUCCAUGCGCUUAACCACCACACUCUCCUAUCUCUGUAUCCCAUCCAAGAUCGAAUUUCCAAGAUCACAGAAUGUAACUUGCUGCUUGCAGCCUACCUCUCGGGCUUCCUCCUCAGAGGUUUCGGGGUUUCUCUGAUUUGGUUUUUGCACAGGACUUUUCAAAGGGACCACUAGACACAGGCACUCGUUCUACUUUCACACGCGGGGCUCCUGAUGCUCACAUAGAAAUGGACAUCAGUGAAUGACAACCAUCGCUACCAAAUACCAGAAGACGGAGGGCCGUGGUCACACAGCAGCACUGUGCUCCUGUCUGAAUCUAAAACACAAGAUUUGCGGGGGGGACGUGCCAGUGGAUAACUCCAGAGACGAGGCCUGAAUCUCCAAGUUGGUCCCUCACUCCCAUCCGGAUGGACCCUUGGAAGGAACAAACAGCUACGAAGUUGCCCAUUAGGCAACUAGAACAAUCUAGUCUUUCUCCUAUCCCCAUUGUCCCCUUCCCGCACCCAACAAAGGACCUACAGCCACGGGGAUAAAGAUCUGAUGGCUUCACUUCAAGCUAAUGCCUCCAAGGCACAGACAUUUGACUAGAAACCAUCUUCGAACUGCUUCUCUUGUAGUUCACACACAAAGUUGGGUGGUACUUGUUCUGCCAGGUUAGAACACCACUGACCACCACAUCAGAAUGAAUUUCCAAAAGCUAUAUGGCAGAGAAUUAGAUCAAGGCCCAGAUCAACCUUUGCCAAAUCUAUAAAUAUGUUCAAAAAUUAGCCAGCCACCAAAAAAAUGGGCUGACUGUACGACUAAUCAGAUUAACUUUUCCCCAUACAUCCUGGACAGGAGGGUAAAACCUCCCUCCUCAGGCAGCCCCGUGGCCCAUAGGUCCUCAGAGCCUGCACACAGCCCUGUACACGGGAGGGGAGGGGGACAGGUGCCCAUACCUCACUGCCAUCUCCAGGACUCAUGUCAUCUUUGUCCACGUCCACGCCCCUCCCAAAUAGAUUCUGGGACCAAGGCCGAGGAGCUCAUUCCCUCAGGAACCACCCCCAGAUGCUUCCUUGAAAGCUGUCCUGGUGCCACGACUGGAACCUCCUGUCCAGACUAGCCAAAGGCUCCGUAAGAAGUGGAUGAAGCAGAAAGCUGAGGUCUGUGGUUUCAUUCUUGAGAAACCCGCAACUCUCCACAGGGAUCUGAUUCCACUGCCAUUUAGAGUCACACUCCGGCUUCUGCCAACACCAGCUCCCUCUGAGUCCAAAUUAAACCUCUCUCGGCUCCUUUGUUGAGACCAGCAUCCCAGCAGAGCCUCCGAUGGUUAUGGUAAGAAAAAGAAGCCGUGCCCAGACCUUCCCGGAUCUGCUGUGAAUGAACAACCAUGUUUUACGUUUGCCACAAACGAAAUACGCUUUACUAAGGCGGAGCAGGCUGGAGACGCCAAGUUCGCGGGGUCCUCCUUCAUAUCCCCCGCUGCUCAUUUUUCUCGAUCAAAAUCUACAACCCAUGGGGAAGAAGAAAGUUCCUAAGGCUGACUGCCCUGACUUAGCGCUUACUCUCAACAGAGCUAUUUGUUUUCUUGGCUUUACAGCACUGGCCAGGAAAGGUCUGUUUAUUCCCUACAAAAACUAAUUAAUAAAAAUAAAAUCGGAGUUCCCAUCAUGGCUCAGCAGUAACGAACCCGACUAGUAACCAUGAGAACGCGGGUUCGAUCCCUGGUCUCACUCAGUGGGUUAAGGAUCUGGUGUUGCCUUGAGCUGCAGUGUAGGUCGCAGAUGUGGCUUGGAUCUGGUGUUGCUGUGGCUCUGGUGUAGGCCGGCGGCUACAGCUCUGAUGCGACCCCUAGCCUGAACACCUCUGUAUGCCCUGGGUACAGACCAAAAAAGAUAAUAAAUAAAUAAAUAAUCAUAAAGGCUGCCCUUAGGAAGGACGUCACUCAUGGAUUCAGACAAGCCCCUAAUUUAAUGGGACAAUUGAGGCCCAGAGAAGCAAAGUGACUGAGGGCUACAUGUCAGAACGCACACACUGGUAAGUGUCCUCUCUGGUGGCUAGUCUCUCCCUUCCUAACAGCACCCCAGAUUUCCAAGCCUUGUGGUUUGGGCAGGUCUGACCCUGUCAUCAGCUCCAGGGGUGUCAGACUGGUGUUGACGAAUAGUCAAGUCCAGUAGGACUCAGUGCAAGAACCCGACACAUUUCCUCUGUUGUGUGGACACUGAGCUGGAUUUUCUGUCAUUUGUAUCCCAAAGCAUCCCGCCAGAUCCCCACCCAGUUAGCGGCAGAUCCAACUUCUUAACUCCUUGUCCACGGAUAUUUCUUCCCAGAAGAAAGACCAUAACAUUACAAAAUAGACACACUACAGAGAGAUGAUCAACAGGGACCUACUGUGUAGCACAGGAAGCUCAACUCAAUAUUCCGUAAUAAGCUAUAUGGGAAGCAUCCGAAAAAGAAUGGAUAUAUGUCAACGUAUAAUUGAGUCACUGCUGUAUACCUGAAACUAACAUGACAUUGUAAAUCAACUGGACUCCAAUAUAAAAUAAAAAUGAACUUUUAAAAAUUACAAAAUUGAGAAAACUAAAAAAAAAAAAAGAAAAAACAGAAAAAGAACUUAUUUACAAGAUGGAAAUAUACCCACAGACAUAGAAAAAAAACUUACGUUGUCAAAGAGGAAGUGGAGGUGAGAUAAAUUAGAAGUUUGGGAUUACCAUUUACACACACUAUAUAUAAAGUAGAGAACCAACAAGGACCUCCUGUAGAGCACAGGGAACUAUACUCAAUCUUUCGUCAAAACCUAUAAGGGAAAAGAAUAUGAGAAAGACAGUGUGCGUGUGUGUGUGUGUGCAUGCACAUGUGUGGUGUGUGUAUAUAUAUAUAUAUAUAUGACUGACUCAUUGUGCUAGACACCUAAAACUCACACAACAUUGUAAAUCAACUCGACUUCCAUUAAAAAAAAAAUAGAGAAAACUAUUUUGACAAAUUUAGUGGCUGGACUUAGGAAAAAAUAUGAAAUUCAACAUUAUCCCUGAGCACUUUAAAAGGAUGGCCUCAUGUAUAAAUUUGGUCAUAUUAAUAGAGCAUUACUGAUGAAGGGAGAAUUCAGGAGUGGAGAUUAACUAUGAAGAAUUCGUGGCUAGAGGGGAGGCCACCUCCAUCUAGCAUCUUAGACAAUCCACGACUCCCACUCAAGUCUCAGAGUGUGACCGAAACGGGGCUCAUGCCAACCUCCCAGAAGGACACUCUGUCCACUUGAUACCCCCAAGGUGGUGAUGGUCUUAGUAGCCAAGUUUACUGUGCAGCUGCUACAUUUAGACACUUAGCUGUAUGUUACCUGCCUUAUGUCAUCGAAGGCUCCCAAUGAUCAACCGGAGGUAGGUUGAUCAAAGUGGACAGUCAACAAAUGAUACUGAAUGAAUGACUGUGGCACAAAUUUAACUAAAUUAAGAUUCUAUUUAGUGUCGAUGAGAAUUCAUUGUUUGGUAAAUAUAAAACUACAGAAUUAAAAAGAUGAGUGCCAAUAAAUAUAAUAAAAUAGGAUUGAGGUAACAUUCAUUGAGUACUCACAGGAGAAUUUACCAGGAAAUACAGAAGCUUAAGUCCCAGGACCCCUUGCUCACAAAGGCCCCUUCCACAGCCCUAGGAAGGACCCCAGAAAUGUACUGAACGGGUAUCUUUCGUAUUUAAGAUUAGACACUGCACACACAAAAAAACUUAAUACGAAAUGUAACCUUAUAGUUCCUAUAUUGAAGGAAACUUGAAAGAGGUUCCCCAAAUUUGACAAUAAUCCUAAAAAUUUACAUGGCACUACCGGCAACCAGUUGUGAAGCUAAAAAAACUCAUCUAAACUAUCAAUAAUAAAAAGCAAAUCCCAACCAAUCAUGCUGGAAGAAUUGGUCAAUUAUCUUGCUAUUCUCUAGAGAGAAAACGGCAUUCCCAAAUCCUUGUCAGAUGAAGAAAUGAUCAAAGAGUAAGCAGCCCUAAAAACGCAGGAAGAAAAGUAACACAGACUGUGUGUUUAACAGCUGAUUAAUAAUAAUAUGUUAUUUUGUUUCAAUUUCAUGAUGUUUGGGAUGUCGGCUUUAUAAUCAUAUACCUUUUUGUGUUUUCUUUCAUCAUUUGAAAUAAAUGCUUACCCUGAUACCUGGUUUCAUAUUUGUCAUGUGUAAUCUUCCAUUCUUUUCUUAAAGAGGCCCCUUCCUCUCUACCCCACACUGAAUAGGCUUCUGGCCUUAUAGAGCCUACAUCCAGCUCAUGGGCCAUCUCCUCUGCCAGCCAACUGCCCUUCAAGGCAGUACUGUUGUCCCCCUAUUACAGAUGAGGGGUGUGGGCCCCCAGCAGGUUAAAACGACCUGCCAAAGGUGACUUGGCUAAGAGGCCACAGAGCUGCGACAGCGAACCCAGCAUUCUGCCCCAAGGGGCUCUGAGCCAGGGCGCCAUCCUGCCUCACCAGUUCAGCUUCUUGUCCUGCCCACCCCCACUAAAGCAAGGAAGGAAAGGGCCACCCCCUCCUCUGAUCCAGGUGUGCCCAUCUGACCUCUGGCU